CCCUCCGGGAUACAGCAGUGACUAACAUUAAGCUAUAAACGAAAGUUUGACUGAGUCAUAAUUUAACAGGGUUGGUAAAUUUCGUGCCAGCCACCGCGGUCAUACGAUUAACCCAAAUUAACAGAUCACCGGCGUAAAGCGUGUUUAAGUAUAAUACUCUAAUAAAGUUAAAACCUGACUAAGCUGUAAAACGUUAUAGUUAAUACCAAAAUAUGCAACUAAAGUGACUUUAAUCUGCACUGAACACACGAUAGCUAAGGCACAAACUGGGAUUAGAUACCCCACUAUGCUUAGCCCUAAACCCAAAUAGUUAAAAAACAAAACUAUUCGCCAGGGAACUACUAGCUAAUGCUUAAAACUCAAAGGACUUGGCGGUGCCCUAAACCCACCUAGAGGAGCCUGUUCUAUAAUCGAUAAACCCCGAUAAACCCCACCUCUUCUUGCCAAUACAGCCUAUAUACCGCCAUCGUCAGCUCACCCCAAUAGGGAUCCAAAGUAGGCAAAACUAURACACCAUAAAACGUUAGGUCAAGGUGUAGCAUAUGAAGAGGGAAGCAAUGGGCUACAUUUUCUAAACUAGAACAUAACGAACGGCCUUAUGAAAUUUAAGACCUGAAGGAGGAUUUAGUAGUAAAUUAGGAAUAGAGAGCCUAAUUGAAAUAGCA
rnacentral:rRNA from 1 species